rnacentral:rRNA from 1 species
AUGAACGCUAGUGGUAUGCUUAACACAUGCAAGUCGAAUGAUAAAGCUUAUUUAUAAGCUAAGUCAUGGCGAACGGGUGAGUAUAUUAUAAAAAGAUACCUUAGAGUUUGGAAUAAUUACGUUUAGGCGUAAGAAUACCGAAUAUUUAUAAAGAAAGGUUUGCGCCUUUUGCUCUUUGAUUUUUUUUAUAUAGUAUUAGAUAGUUGGUAGAGUAACGGUUUACCAAGUCGAUGAUGCUUAGUUGGUCUUAACGGAUGUACAACCACAUUGGAACUGAGACAAGGUCCAAACUCUUUCGAGAGUCUGCAGUGAGGAAUAUUGGACAAUGAACGGAAGUUUGAUCCAGCAAUACCACAUAGAUGAAAGAAGAUUAUGUCGUAAAGUCUUGAUAUUGNAUAAAAUUAUGAUAUUUUNCANUAGAAUAGUCCUGGCUAAGAUUCGUGCCAGCAGCCGCGGAAAUACGGGAAGGGCAAGCGUUAUUCAUCAUGAUUGGGCGUAAAGGGUUAGUAGGUGGUUUAAUAAAUUGGAGAUUAAAGAUUAAAGCUUAACUUUAAAGUUUCUCCAAUAUUUUUUUACUAGAGUUUAAAAGAAGAUAUCUGAAUUUUUAAAGUAACGAUAAAAUGUUGAGAUAUUAAGAGGAAAGCCAAUGGCGAAGGCAGAUAUCUUUUUUAAUACUGACACUGAGGAACGAAAGCUUAGGGAGCAAAAGGGAUUAGAGACCCCUGUAGUCUAAGCCGUAAACGAUGUAUAUUAAAUAUUAGGUUUGAAAAAAAUUUAGUAUUAAAGCUAACGCGUUAAAUAUACCGCCUGAGGAGUACGGUCGCAAGAUUAAAACUCAAAGGAUUUGACGGAAGUUUAAAAGAACAGUGGAGCAUGUGGUUUAAUGCGAUAAUACGCGCUGAAUCUUACCAAUUCUUGAAUAUAAUUAGAUUUUUCUAAUAACAGGUGUUGCAUGGCUGUCGUCAGUUUAUACCGUGAGGUUAUAUAAACGAAACCCUCUUUUUAGUUAAUUGGUUUAUAAAGUCGCUAUAAAUCUAAUUUUUUUCUAAAAUAUGAUUAAUGAAAAUUAAUGGAAGUGAGGAUGACGUCAAGUACGUAUGGCUCUUAUGAAUUGGGCUACUCAUGUGCUACAAAGGUAUCUACAAAAAGGAGCGAUUGCGUGAGCAGAAGCAAAUCUAUAAAAGAUAUCUCAGUCCGGAUUAUAGGCUGUAAUUCGCCUAUAUGAAGUUGGAAUUGUUAGUAAUCGUAGAUCAGAACGCUACGGUGAAUUUUUAAAUAAACUUUGUACAAACCGCCCGUCACGCUAGGAGAGAAAAGUUAGUUGUAAAGAAAUGAAGAUUAAUUGUUCAAUCGUAGCGAAGUCGCAACAAGG